GAUGAACGCUGGCGGCGUGCCUAAUACAUGCAAGUCGAGCGAACAGGCGAGGAGCUUGCUCCUCUGACGUUAGCGGCGGACGGGUGAGUAACACGUGGAUAACCUACCUAUAAGACUGGGAUAACUUCGGGAAACCGGAGCUAAUACCGGAUAAUAUAUUGAACCGCAUGGUUCAAUAGUGAAAGACGGUUUUGCUGUCACUUAUAGAUGGAUCCGCGCCGCAUUAGCUAGUUGGUAAGGUAACGGCUUACCAAGGCGACGAUGCGUAGCCGACCUGAGAGGGUGAUCGGCCACACUGGAACUGAGACACGGUCCAGACUCCUACGGGAGGCAGCAGUAGGGAAUCUUCCGCAAUGGGCGAAAGCCUGACGGAGCAACGCCGCGUGAGUGAUGAAGGUCUUCGGAUCGUAAAGCUCUGUUAUUAGGGAAGAACAAAUGUGUAAGUAACUAUGCACGUCUUGACGGUACCUAAUCAGAAAGCCACGGCUAACUACGUG
rnacentral:rRNA from 1 species